UACGAAGGGGGCUAGCGUUGCUCGGAAUCACUGGGCGUAAAGCGCACGUAGGCGGCUUUCUAAGUCAGGGGUGAAGUCCUGGAGCUCAACUCCAGAACUGCCUUUGAUACUGGAGAGCUAGAGUCCGGAAGAGGUGAGUGGAACUGCGAGUGUAGAGGUGAAAUUCGUAGAUAUUCGCAAGAACACCAGUGGCGAAGGCGGCUCACUGGUCCGGUACUGACGCUGAAGUGCGAAAGCGUGGGGAGCAAACAGG
rnacentral:rRNA from 1 species